AUUUCCCUAGGCUGGCUGUAGCGAAACUCCGUAGUCUCCUUUCAAAAUUGUUGUGGAGCAAAGAAGGCAUCCUAGGACUCAGCUUUAAAAUCUUGACUUGAUGGUGUAAAGGAUCAAAAACCACGGAGGGAGGGAGCAGAACAUGAGAUCAAAAUUAACAUCAGGAUCUGCAAGACAAGUUUUACUUUGCAUUUUUCCUUAAAGAGAGAAAUUACCGGAAGAGAAGCAGACACGAGACCUCUGGUGUCAGCGGCUUCUAGUCUCAAGAGUGGCUGUGGUGCUGGUCGCCGGAGAGAUGCCGUCUGGGCCCGCUCUGUCAGGGCUGGGUCGUCCCCUGUGACCUCCCGGCCUUGCUCACCUUGCUGGCAGGAGUUCAUUCACUUAUUCGCUCUCCGAGCACCGCCCCCCCUCGGUGAGAGCACACCCUCCGCCACACGGACUCUCUGCAGAACGGGCUAUGACAUCUCUGCUCCUCUCUGUUCCCUCCUGCCGCCCGUGACCGCCCCCCAGGCACCCUUCUAAAGGGCAGGUCUGAGGCUGCUGUUGCCAAACCUCUGUGGGUCCCCGGACCCCCUGUUGGGCCCUGCAUGACCAGCGUGGGAGCCACAGUGGUGGAGGGUCUGUGGGCCAAGCCCUAGGAUUAUAUAGUUUCUCCUCUCUUUCAUCCUUGUCAUCUUUCAGGAGCCAGAGAAAACCUCUCACCCCCCUGCCCAGAAACUCGGGAAUGGCCCGUGCCCCUCCCUCCUUGUGCCUGUAAGACGAGGGGCCUCAGCUUCCUCCUGGCUAAGGGCAGGCGGCCUCCGGGAUCAGAGCCCCUUCACACCCGAGCUUCUCAGACUGCGGGGGUGUUGGCUUCAUGAUUUGUUAACAGAUUUACGGAAGCAUAAUUCACAUACCGUAAAAUUUCCUCAUUUUAUGUAUGCAAUUCAGUGAUUUUUAGUAAAUUUAGAGUUGUGGGACGGUCACCACCAUCCGGUUUGGGAACAUUUCUAUCACCCCAGAAGGACCUCUCCAGCCCAUUAGAAUUUGCUCCCUAUUCCCACCCCCAGCCUCGGGCAACUGCUAACCCGUCUUUAUAGCUUUGCUUUUUUCUGGGCAUUUCAU